rnacentral:rRNA from 1 species
AGGGUUUGAUCAUGGCUCAGAUUGAACGCUGGCGGUAACUUUUAAACAUGCAAGUCGAGCGGUAACAGACAUAAAGAUUCAGCUUGCUGAAUCCGGUGCUGACGAGCGGCGAACGGGUGAGUAACGCGUAGGAAUCUACCCAGUAGCGGGGGAUAGCCCGAGGAAACUCGGAUUAAUACCGCAUACGCCCUGAGGGGGAAAGGGGGCAAUUUAUUGCUCUCACUAUUGGAUGAGCCUGCGUAAGAUUAGCUUGUUGGUAGGGUAAUGGCCUACCAAGGCGACGAUCUUUAGCUGGUCUGAGAGGACGAUCAGCCACAUUGGGACUGAGACACGGCCCAGACAUCUACGGAUGGCAGCAGUUAAGAAUAUUGGACAAUGGGGGCAACCCUGAUCCAGGUAUACCGCGUGUGUGAAGAAGGCCCUAGGGUUGUAAAGCACUUUAAUCAGUGAAGAAGCAUUUUAAGUUAAUACCUUAAUUUGUUGACGUUACCUGAAGAAUAAGGACCGGCUAACUCCGUGCCAGCCGCCGCGGUAAUAC